CUCAGUGGUUCCACCACCUGCCUUGCAAGUGCAAGGUCCUGGGUUCCAUCCCUGGUACAAAACAAAAAAAAAGUUGUAGAGAAUAUUUUGGGGGCCGGUGUGUUGAUGCCAAAGUGGUCAGGGUCAGACACAACUGUCAACUGGACUUCUAUCUAGGAAUUGGGACUUUUCCUGAUCAAAGUUUUUCUAAUACCUAAAUAAUAGAAAAGAUUGAUAAUAAGUGUAGUAAUCUUCCUGCUGUGACUUUCUCCUUGGGGAAAAGAAUAUGCAGCAACCUUGAUUUAUGAAGCAUAAGAAUGACAGACUAGAUUUUUCCUAGUCACAAAAUAAUUCUUCCUUGAAAGUAACCUACAAGUUGAUUAAUAUUCACUAAAAAAUUCAUACUGUAAAUGUUUCUGGUAAUUAGAUUUGAGGCAAAAAGUAUGUUAGGCAUCACAGAAUUGGGGGAUGCAUGCUUGUUGUCCUCCUGCCCCCAGUGCUGGGGAAAUUGAACCCAGGGCUUCUGCACUGAGCUACACUCCAUCCCUUUUAUAUAUCUCCCAUUUUGAACAGGAUCUUGCCAAGUCAGUAUUUUGAAGGUGCUUUUAAAGAAUCAUGACUUCAUUGUCUUGACAAUUCUUUCUCUAUUAGGAUUUGUGUUAGGACAACUGGCCUACUAUUUUGUUGAGGUGCGUGAACUUAUUUACCCUCUUCUAAGAACACCAAGCUUUUCACUUUAUUGUUAUUUUAUACCUUUAAUUACAUUUAUGGUUUCAUUGGAAUUGGACUUUUAUAUACUGAAGAAUGUAUUUUGGCAGGUAAGAACACGUUUUAAAACAAAUUACUGUCAUUGCUUGCUUAUACAUGUUGAUAGAAAAUAUAACUAUAUAAAAAUUAAUCAUUCAUAAAUCUCACGUUUUUAGUUGUUUUAUGCUCUUGGUUUUGAAGAAUCACUAAUUAAAGAGAGUCGAGGAGAAGGAGAAGGAACUAAUAUUUGUUGAGGCACCACUGUGACGAGACACUGAGUAAAAAUCAUCCCCAUUUUUUUUCUUGAAGUUUUAUGGUCAGUUUAUUAAGUUCACUGGUGAAAGUUAUCAGAAGAAUAUUCUCCUGAGAGUUAUUUUUUCUUAGAAAAAAAAGAAAGGAAAAUUAAAAGCCUCUCAGCACAGCCACAG
rnacentral:lncRNA from 1 species